rnacentral:rRNA from 1 species
GACGAACGCUGGCGGCGUGCUUAACACAUGCAAGUCGAACGAAAAGAGGGAAAGAGCUUGCUCUUUCCGGAAUUGAGUGGCAAACGGGUGAGUAACACGUAAACAACCUGCCUUCAGGAUGGGGACAACAGACGGAAACGACUGCUAAUACCGAAUAAGUUCCAAGGGCCGCAUGGCCCAUGGAAGAAAAGGUGGCCUCUACCUGUAAGCUAUCGCCUGAAGAGGGGUUUGCGUCUGAUUAGCUGGUUGGAGGGGUAACGGCCCACCAAGGCGACGAUCAGGAGACGGUCUGAGAGGAUGAACGGCCACACUGGAAUUGAGACACGGUCCAGACUCCUACGGGAGGCAGCAGUGGGGAAUCUUCCGCAAUGGGCGAAAGCCUGACGGAGCAACGCCGCGUGAGUGAUGACGGCCUUCGGGUUGUAAAACUCUGUGAUCCGGGACGAAAAGGCAGAGUGCGAAGAACAAACUGCAUUGACGGUACCGGAAAAGCAAGCCACGGCUAACUACGU